rnacentral:rRNA from 1 species
GACGAACGCUGGCGGCGUGCUUAACACAUGCAAGUCGAACGGAAAGGCCCUGCUUUUGUGGGGUGCUCGAGUGGCGAACGGGUGAGUAACACGUGAGUAACCUGCCCUGGACUUUGGGAUAACUUCAGGAAACUGGGGCUAAUACCGGAUAGGAGCUCCUGCUGCAUGGUGGGGGUUGGAAAGUUUCGGCGGUUGGGGAUGGACUCGCGGCUUAUCAGCUUGUUGGUGGGGUAGUGGCUUACCAAGGCUUUGACGGGUAGCCGGCCUGAGAGGGUGACCGGCCACAUUGGGACUGAGAUACGGCCCAGACUCCUACGGGAGGCAGCAGUGGGGAAUAUUGCACAAUGGGCGGAAGCCUGAUGCAGCAACGCCGCGUGCGGGAUGACGGCCUUCGGGUUGUAAACCGCCUUCGCCUGUGACGAAGCGUGAGUGACGGUAAUGGGUAAAGAAGCACCGGCUAACUACGUG